GACUAACGCUGGCGGCGUGCCUAACACAUGCAAGUCGAACGAGGUAGCAAUACCUAGUGGCAGACGGGUGAGUAACACGUGGUCAACCUGCCUUCGCGUGGGGGAUAACUAGCCGAAAGGUUAGCUAAUACCGCAUACGAUCGUUUCGGGGCAUCUCGAGACGAUGAAAGGAGCAAUCCGCGCGAAGAGGGGACUGCGUCCCAUUAGUUAGUUGGUGGGGUAACGGCCUACCAAGACUCCGAUGGGUAGCUGGCUUGAGAGAGCGACCAG
rnacentral:rRNA from 1 species